UACGUAGGGUGCAAGCGUUACUCGGAAUUACUGGGCGUAAAGCGCGCGCAGGCGGCUUUGCAAGACAGAUGUGAAAUCCCCGGGCUCAACCUGGGAACUGCAUUUGUGACUGCAUGGCUGGAGUGCGGCAGAGGGGGAUGGAAUUCCGCGUGUAGCAGUGAAAUGCGUAGAUAUGCGGAGGAACACCGAUGGCGAAGGCAGUCCCCUGGGCCUGCACUGACGCUGAUGCGCGAAAGCGUGGGGAGCAAACAGG
rnacentral:rRNA from 1 species